GUGAGGGACGAAGGCCUCUGGGCUGUAAACCUCUUUUCUCAAGGAAGAAGAUAUGACGGUACUUGAGGAAUAAGCCACGGCUAAUUCCGUGCCAGCAGCCGCGGUAAUACGGGAGUGGCAAGCGUUAUCCGGAAUUAUUGGGCGUAAAGCGUCCGCAGGCGGCUUUUCAAGUCUGCUGUUAAAGCGUGGAGCUUAACUCCAUCAUGGCAGUGGAAACUGAAAGGCUUGAGUAUGGUAGGGGCAGAGGGAAUUCCCGGUGUAGCGGUGAAAUGCGUAGAUAUCGGGAAGAACACCAGUGGCGAAGGCGCUCUGCUGGGCCAUUACUGACGCUCAUGGACGAAAGCCAGGGGAGCGAAAGGGAUUAGAUACCCCUGUAGUCCUGGCCGUAAACGAUGAACACUAGGUGUCGGGGGAAUCGACCCCUUCGGUGUCGUAGCUAACGCGUUAAGUGUUCCGCCUGGGGAGUACGCACGCAAGUGUGAAACUCAAAGGAAUUGACGGGGGCCCGCACAAGCGGUGGAGUAUGUGGUUUAAUUCGAUGCAACGCGAAGAACCUUACCAGGGUUUGACAUCCUGCGAACCUCUUAGAAAUUUGAGGGUGCCUUCGGGAAUGCAGUGACAGGUGGUGCAUGGCUGUCGUCAGCUCGUGUCGUGAGAUGUUGGGUUAAGUCCCGCAACGAGCGCAACCCACGUUUUUAGUUGCCAGCAUUUAGUUGGGCACUCUAGAAAGACCGCCGGUGAUAAACCGGAGGAAGGUGUGGAUGACGUCAAGUCA
rnacentral:rRNA from 1 species